CUGUCUGAGGAGGGGGAGGGAUGAAGCUGUCUGUCAGCGAGGAGCUCCGUGGAAACCGACUCUCAUUGAUCAGAGCCGUGAUCCUGUCAUCCUCAGGUGUUCCUGUCGUAGUAACCAUGGAGACGUUUCGAUAAAGCUCUUGGUUCUGGACAUUCCUCUGGGCAAAGGCAUGGUGCUCUUCUCUGGGGCUGAGGGGGGCACCAGACCCUGACGCUCAAACAGGGACUGUCAGCAGUCAUGGACUUGGAUCGGAGUGUCAGCGAGGUGCUGGGGGCUCGUUUCGGAGGGGGUGGAGCUAUAAGGUUGGAUUCUGAUUUUCUGGAAACAGACACGACUUUCAUCAGCAGACGACUUCCUCCCUGACGGAUCAGAGCGACGACCUGCCGGUGACCCACCUUCACCACGUCUGUACCGUUCACCUGGACAGCACACGCACACGCACACACACACGCACAUGCACACGCACACACACAAUCACAAGAGAUUACAGCAAAGUUUUAAUUAUGUUUUAACAAACAGAAAUCUAAUGAUGCCACAGGUGUGAGGACAGGUGUUACCUCUAUGAGAAAGUCUCCAGUCCGUAGCCCCGCCCUCCAAGCCACACCCCCCUGGUCGACUGACUCCAGGUACUGAAGAGCGGGAAACGCCGGGGUGGGGGCAAACUCCUCAAUGGGCGUCUCAGCUUGAAACAGAGAGAGAGAGAAGACGUGUUUUAUUUCAGUAUUUUUUUCUUAUUGGUGAUCAAUGAUCGAAGGUUCUGUGUCAAACCUGCCGUGAUAUAAUUCUUUUUAAGACGUUUCACAGUUUUUAAUCUUCAGUCUUCGAAGCUCCUUGGAUGAAUUUGAUUGUUUGUUCUUUUUGAAAUGACGUUGUGUAACUGAGGCUU